AUUGAACGCUGGCGGCAGGCCUAACACAUGCAAGUCGAGCGGUAGAGAGGUGCUUGCAUCUCUUGAGAGCGGCGGACGGGUGAGUAAUGCCUAGGAAUCUGCCUAGUGGUGGGGGAUAACGUUCGGAAACGGACGCUAAUACCGCAUACGUCCAACGGGAGAAAGCGGGGGAUCUUCGGACCUCGCGCCAUUAGAUGAGCCUAGGUCGGAUUAGCUAGUUGGUGAGGUAAUGGCUCACCAAGGCGACGAUCCGUAACUGGUCUGAGAGGAUGAUCAGUCACACUGGAACUGAGACACGGUCCAGACUCCUACGGGAGGCAGCAGUGGGGAAUAUUGGACAAUGGGCGAAAGCCUGAUCCAGCCAUGCCGCGUGUGUGAAGAAGGUCUUCGGAUUGUAAAGCACUUUAAGUUGGGAGGAAGGGUCGUAACCUAAUACGUUACGGCUUUGACGUUACCGACAGAAUAAGCACCGGCUAACUUCGUGCCAGCCGCCGCGGUAAGAC
rnacentral:rRNA from 1 species